UGUACAAUAGGAGAGAGAAUUGUGUAACUCAAAAAAGAGUUAGUGUAACUUAACACAACAAAACUCAUUACGCGCAGCUUGUAGCCACUGAAUACCUGAUUGGGGAUUCAACGUCAACAACAAACAAAGUUUCGUCGGAGCAAUCAACAUCACCGUUUUCAUCCCAAUUCACCUUCUCCGAUCGCAUGCUUCACUGAAUUGCCUUCAAUCCAUCAAGCUAAGCAUUCUUCUCUUCACUCUCUGUUUAAUCUGUUUUGUUUCCUUCGUCUUCAUCAAUUUCGUAUUCUUAUAAUUUGAAUUUUUAUAGGUUUAACAGAUCUAGGGUUUAUCAUAUUAUUCAUCAAUCUAUCUGAUUCGCAUCAAUCUUCACUAGCUUUUAUCUGUUUUGCAUCAAUCUUCAAUUGUGUUUAUCUGCUUCGUUUAAAUGUAGAUCUGAAUUUUGUUUAAUUACUGCUUUAACGAUUGUUAAACACUAAUAAACACGAAUCGCCGAGUAAUUUAACCAAUACGGCAAUGUUUUUAAUUAUCCAUUUGUUUAUUUAAUGAGAAUCUAUCGCAUGUAUUUAUUGGUAUUUCUGUUACAUAUAUGAUGUAGUUUAAGCUGGCAAUCUUAUUAAGUUUUUGACCUAAUUCGUUGGGAUUUAGUUAGACCUAAAACCUAACAUGAUAUCGAAUGUGGUUAUUGAAAUUGUGAUCUUUGGUUAGCAGAUUGGCUUUUAAUGAACUAAGAUUACCACUUUAUGAAGCCAGAUCAAUUAUGUUCCGUAUUAAAAGCUGGGCAGUUGAUCAUAGAAGUCAAAUCCAUAUAGAGAUGCCGAUUCUUAAACACUAAUUAACACGAAUCACCGAGUAAUUUUACCAAUACGGAGUAUCCUUCAAAGAGUGAAUCAUACUCGUCCCAAAUGAAUUGGUAAUAUGAGACUGAACGCACUCCAUCAAAGCACAUUAAUGACAAACUUGCUGAGAUAGAAGAACCUGCUUGCAUGGGUUCAAUGGCAGCACAGCUACAGAGUCCCGACUACAAACUGAAGAGUGAUAUUUGAAGUGUGGUUUGGCCCCUAGGAGCAAUUGAGCCGGACUUGAGGGUCCCCCCACCUUUCUUUGUUUGAGUGUAGGAGUGUGCUGCUGAAAGUAGGCAUGGAUUUUAUCCCACGGCGUCCAUGAAUUUUUGCAGCCAAUGACACGGCGAAGCAUGUCGCAAGAAAUGGGGGAUUGCAACCACGCAAGUAGAAGCUGAUCUUGUUCCCAAGCUUCAAAUUCAGGUGAGAUGUGAUUGUUGUUUGUAUUUUCAAUUGAAGUCAAUUUCACUUGAAUGUGAGGAUUUAGAAGAAAAUGAUGAAGUUUGUGAGCUUUGAUCACAGAUUCCAGCUAUUGACACCAUAACAGGUAGUUUUCUGAAUAAGUUUCUCAGAAAUUGCAGAAAAGGCAUAAUUCUGCUUUGUAGAAGAUGAGUAUAUGUGCUGAAGAGGAGAUGAAGGGCCUUAGGCCUUAGAACCUUGGGGUGUUUCUACAGAUACCAUGUUAGAAAAUUAAUUCUCCAUUAAUUUGAGCAGAGAAAUCUCAACUCUGAUUUCUUAUAAUUUGUAUUUCUUAUAUUUUGUGUUUAGUGCAAUGAGUGAGACUAUUUAUAGACUCACAAGGCUAACUAAUUUUGUUAGGCAGUUCCUAGAAUCUAGGGAUUAGUUCCUUGAUUCUAGGGACAGUUGAAGUUAGUAAGGAUAGAGGAAUCCACUGUGCAGUUAGUGUACAGCAGUUACAGUAGGGUAUACAAUUACAUGAGGACCUCCUAAGCUCAUCCACUGUUUGGCACCUUGGAGCAAUUGAGCAGGACUAGAGGGUCUCCCCUUUUUGUUCGAACUUGAUAACAUGUCAUUCUCCAAAACAAACCCAACUAUUGCCUAAGCUGAGGGAAAUCUUGUUUAUGAGGUUACAAGUCUCCCUUCUCUAUUUUACCUUUUUUGGAUGUCCAUAAGCUCCAAAGAAAAACUAGUUGGAUCCACUCACUUUUUUUUUUGACAUGAACUAGAUAUAUGGUUCAAAGAAAAGGAAAUCAUGGGUACAUUCAAGUUCUCUAUCGACAAAGAGCCAAACACUCUGGGAUGCUCUUUUCCACUGCCAGUGCAGCCCAAAAACAAACCUGAAUUGAUCUGUCAAAACUCUGCAAUCCCAGCUAAUGGUUUUCAUUGUUUUGGGCUGUAGACUUUGGUUCAUCUUAUUUCCAACCACCCCCUUUUGUCUUCUAGAUGUUCCUCAGGGAUGAGCAUAUCAACAAACCUUUCUUAUUUAAAAAGGGUUCUGUCUUUACAUGUAUAGGGCUUGUAGUCUUUCUCUUUGGGUUUUGGCAUGACCACUUCAUUCCUUCCCACCAGCAGUUUCCUGUGUCUUGUUCCAACAAUUAGACUCCUGCUGCAAGAGCUGGAUUUGCUCUCUUUUUUUGCGGCUCACUUUGGAAGUAGUGAAGCACGUAGUCAAAGUCCAAAAGGGUCCUCCUUUACCCCCAAUAUCUUCAAAACCAUCUUCUUGAUCACCAUGUUCAGUCUUUGAUUUGGUGUCAAUACAAGUAGGUUAAUAUUCAUAUUUAAAAAGAAAUAAAAGAUUCUUUGCUACAUGAGCAUUGUCCCUCUUUUCAAAGGUUAUCAUAUAUCAAUAGAGGUUUUGAUCCGUAUGAAUCUGCCAAUACGGUUGCGGUUGCUGUCUUUUUUUUAUUCGCUUCAAGCUUUUUCGUGAUGCGAUUCAUACGAAGCUUCAACGUGGGUCUCAUACACCUUGGCCUAGCAUGAGACUAUCCAUUUUUUAAAGCUUCAAUUCUGCUGCUGGUUUCUGUUUUUAGGACUGCAAUUUGCAUUUUUUACAUCAGGUCCUCUCUUCCUACACAGUUUCAUAUUUUCGCUGCUCGUUUCUGUUUAUUUUACAAUUUCUGGUUCUGUUCAAUGGUUUCUGAUAUGCCUUCUAUUUGCCAAUAGUUUAGAUUUUGUGCAGCAGCCCCUAGCCUUUCUUUUGGAAAUCAUGCCUGCUUUCAAUUGUUUUAAGAUAUAUUUUACAGGGUUUGUGAUGUUUUCUGACAAGAUGCUUACUUUGUGUUGACUUCCAAAAAUGAUUUGUGGUUAGUUUAGAAAGUUAUGCAAUCUUUUCAUAAAAUAAAAUUAUUACAAAGAAAAAAUUCAGUUUGAUUUUUUUUAUGGUGAAUUAUGCCAGAAACUUUAAGAUGAAACUUGAAGCAUUAUUGUUUUUUGCUUGCUCAGAUGAACUGAAAGCCAAAUCGAUCAUAUUUUAAGUGACGUGCUAGUUU